rnacentral:tRNA from 1 species
CAAAGAAUAGUUUAUAAAAAUAAUAGUUUUGGGGAUUAUAGAUAAAGAAUUUUCUUUUUCUUUGA